rnacentral:rRNA from 1 species
GACGAACCGUGCGAACGUUGUUCGGAAUCACUGGGCUUAAAGGGCGCGUAGGCGGGUCUUCAAGUUUGGGGUGAAAUCCUCCGGCUCAACCGGAGAACUGCCUCGAAUACUGAAGGUCUCGAGGGGGAUAGGGGCAUGCGGAACUACGGGUGGAGCGGUGAAAUGCGUUGAUAUCCGUAGGAACUCCGGUGGCGAAGGCGGCGUGCUGGAUCCCUUCUGACGCUGAGGCGCGAAAGCUAGGGGAGCAAACGGG